rnacentral:lncRNA from 1 species
CCUUUUGUCGCACCGGAGCACUUCGAUCAGAACACCACCCCCUCUACCAACUUUCUUCCUGUCGUUUCCACCAUACCCAACCUUUCUAAACCUGACAACCCAAACCUUCAAACCAGAAACCCCAAUGACAAGGACCAAUCACCAUAGCCACCCAACCCAUAACCAAACCAGAUUUUCACCCCUGAUUUUCACAAUGGAGCCAAUGAUGAUGAAUCUUUGAAGCUUUGGAGAGUAGAUUGGUCCAAGUAAGGAUGAAGGAAAGUGAUUCAGCUUGAUCUUGCA